rnacentral:rRNA from 1 species
UACGAAGGGGGCUAGCGUUGUUCGGAAUUACUGGGCGUAAAGCGAACGUAGGCGGACUCUUAAGUCAGGGGUGAAAUCCCGGGGCUCAACCUCGGAACUGCCUUUGAUACUGUGAGUCUCGAGACCGGAAGAGGUGAGUGGAAUUCCUAGUGUAGAGGGGAAAUUCGUAGAUAUCAGGAAGAACACCAGUGGCGAAGGCGGCACACUGGUCCGGUUCUGACGCUGAGGUGCGAAAGCGUGGGGAGCAAACAGG